CAGGUCUUGUUUUAGGACACUAAGCUUGUCCUUGGGAAACCAUCAAUUUAUGUCGGUGAAGUGGUUUCCCCUCCAACGCUGACCUAUAUCAAGAUCAACUCAGCGAGAUCUGCAAUAUUUAAUAUAGACAUAUGCAUCGACAACCACCCUUUCAAAGUUUUUAUGAAUAGAAAGGAAGAGUGGGUUGGAGAUCUCGAAUGUGGUGAUGUUGGAGAGACCAAUGGAUUGUGAAGAUGUUGCCUAUG
rnacentral:lncRNA from 1 species